GCCCUUCUGGGCAGAGGGAUCCUCCUCCCAUCAUCACUGGCGAAGAAGUCAGAAGGCAAAUGAGAUCUAAUCAUAGCUCGGAACAGCCCAAGAAUAAGGGAGGACUUAUGCUAGCUUGGGAAGAAGCAGCAGCUGUCACUAGAGAAUGUUACUCGGGACAGGUCAGCUUGCAAGAGGAUUUGCUGGACAUCAGUAAAGUAUCUGCUCAGAAGUCUGGCUGGUGACACACUGAUGAAACAAAGGAGUGUUUCCUAUGGCCUGAAGUGACAAAUGUUGAAACAGAUGUUUUAGAUCCCAGCACUGUAGAUGACAAUCACCUCCAACUGAAUUUGUACACAUUCUGGAGAUAUUAAAGAAGUUACAAACAGCA